GGACUAAUAUGUUGGUCGUGCCUCGGUACGUACUGGCUUGUUGGUUUCUACCUUCUGACGAACCAUGAUGUCAUUAAUUUGGUGUCUUGGGGAAUCAGGACUGUUACUUUGAAAAAAUUAGAGUGUUUAAAGCGGGCACGCGCUUGAAUACAUUAGCAUGGAAUAACGAAAUAGGACGUUCGAUCUUAUUUUGUUGGUUUCUAGGAUUGACGUA
rnacentral:rRNA from 1 species